UCAAAAAAUAUAAUACAAAACAUAAUCCGAAGAUAAGCAUCUUGGGUUUCAAGAUGCUUAUCUUCGGAUUAUGUUUUGUAUUAUACU
rnacentral:miRNA from 1 species